rnacentral:rRNA from 1 species
CAGCCGCCGCGGGAAUACGUAGGUGGCAAGCGUUGUCCGGAAUUAUUGGGCGUAAAGCGCGCGCAGGCGGCCUAUCCAGUCUGUCUUAAAAGUUCGGGGCUCAACCCCGUGAUGGGAUGGAAACUAGUAGGCUAGAGUAUCGGAGAGGAAAGCGGAAUUCCUAGUGUAGCGGUGAAAUGCGUAGAUAUUAGGAAGAACACCAGUGGCGAAGGCGGCUUUCUGGACGAAGACUGACGCUGAGGCGCGAAAGCCAGGGGAGCGAACGGGAUUAGAUACCCCCGUAGUCCCUGUCUCUUAUACC